UUGUUCAUGAGUAUCUGGAGCUAUGAGAUAUGUCCAUUCCACACUCAUACUUGUUGUUUGGUUGGAAAAAUAAAAUAAAAUUUCAAACCCAUACUUUAAACCCGAAGGUAUGGGUUUUUCAUACCAAAGUGGGGUGGUGAGUAUGAGAUGGAGGUAUAAGAUGCAUUAUUUUUUAUUUUUUUUGUCUCUAUUUAAGUAAUGAAAUAUUAUUGUUUGAUACAAAAUUAAAUUAAUGAUGCGUCGAGGAGUUGAGGUGAUCAUAAUUUAAGUAAUUUUUUUAAAUCAAUAUAAAUUUAUAACUUAUUUUUUACAAAAAUCGUAUGCAUAUUGAUCCCAGCAUUCAACCAAAACAUGAUAUCAUAUAUGAUACCUCAAACCCAUACCAACUUAACCUUAACCCGAUUCCUCAUUUCAACCUCAUAUCAUUCCUCGAACCAAACGAUCCCGAGAAUUCUUUUCAAGCUGGUUACAGCAUACAUUUUGCUCAAAGAAAAUUAUAUCUGUUUUAAAUAAUACUAUUAAAUACUCUCCACCAAGAUUCCACAUCUUUCUUCUUCUGGAGGACUAAGAACUCAGCGACUCCUCAAGAACUCCGAUGUGAUAUGUCCUUGAAUAAAACAAAGGAGUUCUUGAUGAUAAUUAAAAUGUCAUAUGUAUGAAAUACUAGAGUUCAAUAAUAACUGAUUUGAAUUAACUCGUUUAUAGAUAGAAAUGUGAAAAGAUUAAAAACGUCGAGAAGAUGUUGGAGUUCAAUCCCAGCUUGAGGAUUGCACGCUCAGUCAUCUUACAACUUAUUACACCAGUUUAAAUUCAGAAAUUAAUUGAAGUCACCGACUUAAAAUUUAAGCAAAUAAGCUCCAAAUCACAUUACUCCUUACAAGUUUUAAAACAAAAGCUCAUAUUUUCAACUCCUUACAAGUUUUUUUUGCCUUUAACACAAACGAGUUAAAAAAAAAUAGAAACCGAUUUCGUAUAAAAAAAACCGAAAGUGGGUCUUGCCAAACAGACACUUCUUGACACAAAUAAAAUUGAACUCUCUUAAAUGGAAAAGGAGGGGGCUCAAGGCUAAAUUAACUUGCAAUUCAAGUUAAUCAUCCAACCCUUUCCAUAAGCAUGACUAAAUUAUACUCCUAGGUUAUCGAUAUUAUGACAAAAUUAUACUCUAAAUUAUUGAUCACUUGAUAUUACGAUCAAUGAUAUGAUAAGUAAAUUGAAAACAGCAUAUGGUUGAUUGAAUUGACUCACGUGACAAAGAUGAGCACUCGUAGGCCUGUUCGCGAACCGAGCUGUUCGCGAACAAGCUCGUGUUCGGCUCGUUAAGAACUCGUUCGGCUCGGUUCGUUUAUAAAAUCGAGCUCGAGCUCGAACUCGAAAAUCUGUUCGUUAAGCAAAACGAUCUCGAGCCGAGUUUCAGUAUGUUCGGCUCGAGCUCGGCUCGUGUUCGGCUCGAUCUCGUUCGGCUCGAACUCGCUCGUUAAAAGCUCGAUAAAUUAUGAAUUGUACCCAGAAUAUUUUUAUAAUACUAUACCUUUCUAACUUCUGGACUUAGCCGUUUAGGAUAUCAUCUCAAGAUUUAGAGAAGAAAGAUACAAUCAUCCUCUAUAUCAACGCACUUACUUGCUUCCAUGCUUCCAGAUCGCUAAGUGUGUUAGUCAAAUGCUUCCAGAUGCAUUCCAUUAACACCCUGCAGAUCAUAGUAGUUUGGAUUCUGGGUAAACCUCCUGUACAAGAAUGUCCGACUGAGGUUAUUUGGCUUGCUUGUAGUGACGUGAACCACCACCUGGUUUUCGAAUCUGAGAUUGGUUUUGGGGAUAUAAGAACUACGGAUUAAGAGAUUAGGGAACGAAUGAACCCCUGGGUAUAGUAUAUGUUUAGGUUUUUUGAUUGUUGGGCUGGGGUUUUUUUGGGCUGG
rnacentral:lncRNA from 1 species